AACGAACGCUGGCGGCGUGGAUAAGACAUGCAAGUCGAACGGGGUGCCUGUAGCAAUAUGGGCAUUCAGUGGCGGACGGGUGCGUAACACGUGGGCAAUUUGCCCGGAAGAGGGGAUAGCCCGCCGAAAGGCGGAUUAAUACCGCAUGUGACCCUGGGGAGCAUUUCCUGGGAGUUAAAGGAGUGAUCCGCUUCCGGAUGAGCCCGCGGCCUAUCAGCUAGUUGGUGAGGUAACGGCUUACCAAGGCUACGACGGGUAGCUGGUCUUAGAGGACGACCAGCCACACUGGAACUGAGACACGGUCCAGACACCUACGGGUGGCAGCAGUCGAGAAUCUUUCACAAUGGGGGAAACCCUGAUGG
rnacentral:rRNA from 1 species